rnacentral:ncRNA from 1 species
AUCAGGACGAUGAAAAAGAGGAGUACAUCAGGGUAGCCAUUGCAGAGAGAAAGCGGCGGGUGAGAGCUUUCAUGGUGAACGAUGGAAGCUGCUUUGGAGUUCUGCGCGUAUCUGGCGUUAACAGAGUAAGUGAGUGUGCCUGUGGAUAUAUACACGGGUGAACUGGGAUGGUACCGCGUAUACUAUACGUUCCUGGA